GAUGAACGCUGGCGGCGUGCCUAAUACAUGCAAGUCGAGCGAACGGACGAGAAGCUUGCUUCUCUGAUGUUAGCGGCGGACGGGUGAGUAACACGUGGAUAACCUACCUAUAAGACUGGGAUAACUUCGGGAAACCGGAGCUUAUACCGGAUAAUAUUUUGAACCGCAUGGUUCAAAAGUAAAAGACGGUCUUGCUGUCACUUAUAGAUGGAUCCGCGCUGCAUUAGCUAGUUGGUAAGGUAACGGCUUACCAAGGCAACGAUGCAUAGCCGACGUGAGAGAGUGAUCGGCCACACUAGAACUGAGACACGGACCAGACUCCUGCGAGAGGCAGCAGUAGGGAAUCUUCCGCAAUGGGGGAAAGCCUGACGGAGCAACGCCGCGUGAGUGAUGAAGGUCUUCGGAUCGUAAAACUCUGUUAUUGGGGAAGAACAUAUGUGUAAGUAACUGAACACAUCUUGACGGUACCUAAUCAGAAAGCCACGGCUAACUACGUG
rnacentral:rRNA from 1 species